AGCACAAUCUCAAUGCUUCAAAAAUAUUUUCUCGAGUAGUAGAACUCAAGACUAAGGAGGGACAGAAGAAGAAGAGAAAUGAGCCUUGGCUAGCUUUGAAAUUCUAUGCUGAUGAGCUGGGAAAGAAGAAUAUACCUGAAAAACAACAAACACAAGGAAACGGGGAACAGAAUGAGGGGUUCGGGGGGGAAAUGCAUUGGUUUUGCUGUAUUACAGUUUCCAUUUAAUAGAGUGGUAUGUCUGCUACUAUUUGUCCUCAACGUAUGCAGCUUUCCAUUGAUACAAAAAUCAAUGGUUUCUUGUUUUCCAAUCAUUUGUUAAU
rnacentral:misc_RNA from 1 species